CAAUAGCGUAUAUUAAAUUUGCUGCAGUUAAAAAGCUCGUAGUUUGGUAUUUGUUGUACGCACCCUCUCAGUUUCUUCGUAAACCUGAAUGUGUUUGUGCUGCAAUAUGCUGUGUGUUUUUUGAUUUUCGCUCAAUUGCGUUUUCGAUGAAUACACGUUUUACUGUGAGAAAAUUAGAGUGUUCAAAGCAAGUGUUUUGUUUGAAUACAAUAGCAUGGAAUAAUACAAUAAAACUUUUAUUUAUUUUGUUGGUUUUAAAAAUAUAGUUACGAUUAAUAGGAACAGUUGGGGGCAUUCGUAUUCAACAGUCAGAGGUGAAAUUCUUAGAUUUGUUAAAGACGAACCGCUGCGAAAGCUUUUGUCAAGGAUGUUUUCAUUAA
rnacentral:rRNA from 1 species